rnacentral:rRNA from 1 species
AUUGAACGCUGGCGGCAGGCUUAACACAUGCAAGUCGAGCGGGGGAGGUUGCUUCGGUAACUGACCUAGCGGCGGACGGGUGAGUAAUGCUUAGGAAUCUGCCUAUUAGUGGGGGACAACAUUCCGAAAGGAAUGCUAAUACCGCAUACGCCCUACGGGGGAAAGCAGGGGAUCUUCGGACCUUGCGCUAAUAGAUGAGCCUAAGUCGGAUUAGCUAGUUGGUGGGGUAAAGGCCUACCAAGGCGACGAUCUGUAGCGGGUCUGAGAGGAUGAUCCGCAACACUGGGACUGAGACACGGCCCAGACGCCUACGGGAGGCAGCAGUGGGGAAUAUUGGACAAUGGGCGGAAGCCUGAUCCAGCCAUGCCGCGUGUGUGAAGAAGGCCUUUUGGUUGUAAAGCACUUUAAGCGAGGAGGAGGCUCUUAAGGUUAAUACCCUUGAUGAGUGGACGUUACUCGCAGAAUAAGCACCGGCUAACUCUGUGCCAGCAGCCGCGGUAAUAC